AAGAGUUUUGCUGACAUUCUUCAGAGUGACUUUUCCUUCUCAUCUCCCCCCCUUGGAUGGCUGCUUGGCUGCUGAUCGGCCUACCCAGAAAGUCCAAUCAUUGGAUUCUCGGAGAGUAGCCUCCAUGCGCCACAUUAGUUUUCUAGCACCUUCCUAUGUGCCGGAGCAUGGAUGCGUGUCUCAUGGUCACUGGCGUCUCACUUUUUCUUGUUGGCAUUGCCUUUGUAGAGGAAAUACAACCCUGUGAGUUGCUUUGUGUUAAUAUUUCCUCACCGGCAUUGCCUUUGGAGAGGGUU
rnacentral:misc_RNA from 1 species